rnacentral:misc_RNA from 1 species
GUUACAUGUUUACUCCUGUUGAAAUGAGGGCUGAUGAGAAUUUACGUUCAGAACUGGAGUUGGAUGUUAAAGAGGAAUGUGUGAAACUUGGUCCUGUUGAUUCAGUCAAGGUCUGUGAGAAUCAUCCUCAGGGUGUGGUGUUGGUAAAAUUCAAGGACAGGAAAGAUGCUCGAAAGUGCAUAGAAUUAAUGAAUGGGCGAUGGUUCGGUGGUAGACAGAUUAAUGCUAGUGAGGAUGAUGGAUUAGUUAAUCAUACUUUGGUCCGGGAG